AUUGAACGCUGGCGGAAUGCUUUACACAUGCAAGUCGAACGGUAGAGGGGGCAACCCCUCGAGAGUGGCGAACGGGUGAGUAAUAUAUCGGAACGUGCCCAGUCGUGGGGGAUAACGUAGCGAAAGUUACGCUAAUACCGCAUACGAUCUAAGGAUGAAAGCUGGGGACCGUAAGGCCUCGCGCGAUUAGAGCGGCCGAUGUCUGAUUAGCUUGUUGGUGAGGUAAAAGCUCACCAAGGCGAUGAUCAGUAGCUGGUCUGAGAGGACGAUCAGCCACACUGGGACUGAGACACGGCCCAGACUCCUACGGGAGGCAGCAGUGGGGAAUUUUGGACAAUGGGGGCAACCCUGAUCCAGCAAUGCCGCGUGAGUGAAGAAGGCCUUCGGGUUGUAAAGCUCUUUUGUCAGGGAAGAAACAGCAGCUCUAACACAGUCUGCGAAUGACGGUACCUGAAGAAUAAGCACCGGCUAACUACGUGCCAGCCGCCGCGGUAA
rnacentral:rRNA from 1 species